UGCUUAGUCAGUUCCAGGUUCCAGCCCAACUCGCGUCGUACAGCAGCCUCGCAUCGCACCUCUUCCACCCGAAACAAUCCCCACUCACGCACGCAGAGCAGCAGCCACCAGCGAGCCGGACGGAGGCGGCCACGACCGGCGAGGCGGCGAGCCGGCGACCAAGGAGUCACCGACUGCCAGUACUGCACACUAUCUUCAGUUACUGGCGCAGUCCCAACCAAGGAGAUCCAACGGCUCACCGUCAUUGUGUGACAUCCAUCAGCUCUUGUUGUAAUAAAGCUACUGUCUUUACCUUUCAGUUUUGCCUAUCUAUUCUUCAAUUUUGCCCUUAAAUUCAGUAUACUGUAGUUUAUCUAGUCAAUUCCUGUUCAUGUCUUAGCCAAACUAGCACAGUAUCCUGACACCGACGCCGCGAUUCUGCGAAGGAGGGGCUGGGUAGCCGGCGAAGCGCCGCACCAGCAGAAGGCGACGCGCAGACGGCGGACGCGCCCAGCCGCCAAACCCUAGCGGCAGCGCUGGCGUCCGGCGAGAAGUUUGGGCGGGGGCUGAGGAGCGCGCCGGUGGCCGGCCGGCCGGAAUUCGCUGUGCACGUUGCUGGAGAGAGGCACCGCCUGGGCGCAUCGCUGCAUCGGAAUCGUCAGCGUUCGGCAAUCGGUAGCACUGAUUUGUUAAAAUGAAGAGAAAGCAUGUGAGCAUCCUUAGCUAUUAUACAUCUAGUUCUGUUGGUAGCACUCAAUCUGAACCUGAGCAUGUUGAACCUCAAGCUGAAACUCAACCUGAACCUGAGCAUGUUGAACCUCAAGCUGAACCUGAAUAUAAACAUGAACCUGAUCUCCAAAUUGUUGAGAGCAAUGCCACCACAUUUGAUGAGACCGAUGAGAGUACAAACCAGCCAAGUCAGCUUAUUCAAGAAUUUCAUCCAAGUCAAAUUAUUCAUGAUCCAGGACUUAGAAAGAGAUAUUCAGAAGCAUUCAUGAUGAUCAGAUCAUUAUACAGUUUCAGAAAUUGAGGGAUCGUAGAGGACAUCUGCCGCGCGAGUAUGAUGUGAUUUCUUAGAGUACCAGCGACACUCCGGCCGGUCCCUUCGACGGAGGGGACGUGUCCGUGACUCUCCCGGCGAUCCCCGUGACGGAGGGGAGGGGGGCUGUGACGGAGAGGGUGGCGGUGGCUGGCGGUUGCAACGGAGGGAGGGGGCAACGGUGGCUAGCGGCUGCGACGGAGGGAGGGGAGGUGGCGGCGUCUGGCGGCUGCGAUGAGAAGAGGGGGCGGCCACGGCGGCUGGCGGCUGCGAUGGAGGAGAGGAGGCUGCCGCGGCGGCAGGCGGCUGCGAUUGAGGAGAUGGGGCUAAGACGGGGGAGGGCGGCGGCGGCGGCGUUGAUGGCGUGGCGGUAGGCGCUCCUAGGAAGAAAAGGCCAGGACGAGUGUUCUGUGACUUGAUGAGAUCUUUUUUUUGUUUUUCUGAUUAUGAUUUGAUGAGUUGACUUUCAGAAUGUCCGUUCUAAAUUGCUGUAGUAUUAUAGAAGUUACACACCGAUUUAAUCAACGUUUACGAAAAAUUAUGUUAGACGGAACCCAGAUUCGAUUAGACGGAGCCUCGGUUCCGUGCCAAUCACCGUAAAAGAGCUCUUAGAAUAUUAGAAUACAAUUAGUUGGCCAUUCGUACAAUGUAUGAAUAAACUACCCGAAAAUAAUUAUG